rnacentral:rRNA from 1 species
UUCGCUCGGGCAGUUUGGGCCAUAGUUCAAGUAGCUUCUAAUUUAUACCCACCACGUAGUGCACGGAAUAUGUUCGACAACUGGUUGCGGGGUAUUGAUAAAUAAUUUUCUGCAUAUAUUCUUGUGGGAGCGGCGGCCUUCUACUGGGCACUAUGGCUUACCAGGAAUGAUGUGAUCUUUAAUAACAAAUGUGUCUCAUCUCCUAUGGAGGUUAUUCAUGUCUGUACACGAUGGCUCCGUACUUGGUCUAUCCUACAGAGGCUGGAGGACAUGGACCUUUUUAUGGUGGCGUCUACACGGCUGGAGCGUUCGGCCAGGGAGGUUUUCUACCCCCAUGAAUGA